CGGCCACGCCCCCUCCGUCCUCCGGUUGGAAGCGAGGGCGGGACGCUGGUUCAGGUACCCGAGCCGCGGAGAAUGGAGUUUCAGGUUUUGUUUUUGUUUGCUUUUCAGCUGCCACUACGGGUGUAGUUGAGUCUUGCACGAAGCAGACUGACUGUGUUUAUGCAGACAUUCCUAAAACCGAUGCCCUACCUGGAGGGGAAAUAGGUGUUUUCCUUUGAGUUGAAUGACGGAAGCAUUUCCCCGCUUACCUUGAGGGAAGUUCAGUACCUGUGAGACAAGGACGAGUAUUUCCCAGUCGGAGUGUGUGGUUUGGUUUGGUUUGGUUUUGUGGUGGUUUGCGGUGGUCACGCCUGUAAGUCGAAUUUCUGGGAGCCUCCGUGUGGGGCUUCUCAGGGGCCAGCCGGCCGUGCUGGCAUCCUCGGGGACGUGCUUGGAAAGACGGGUUCUCGGGAGUCGCUCCGGCCUUCUGGAUCAGAACGUGCCGGAGGGUCCCAGAAAUCCGUAUCUUCACAAACCCCAAGUGAGCCUGAGGUUUGCGCCAGUUAGAAAACCGCAGCUCUAAUGAAUUAGAUCAGUCGGGAGAAAAUGUUGUCCUCCCUCGUGAGUGAUCAGUAGAAGAAAAUGCUGAAAAGUGAUAAUGCUGAUAACUAAGUUUGGGAAAGACCUAUUUCUGUUUCCUUACGGGAGCAUCAGAAGUGCUACCAGGACUUUGGAGCCCAAAGACUUCGAGAAGAAGACACCUAUUCACCACACUCUUGCCUAGAAGACAACCAGAAAUAUUUGCCCAGGUACACAGACACCUGCGGAAACCAGUACAGAACCCUCACCACUUAGCUUUUGCUAACAGCAUGCCUUGCCACUGAGUUUUCCUGAAGACUGUCCCAUUCAACCUGCCUCACUCCAUAGGCCUCUCUCCAGAGUGAUUCCUCAUUGUGCCUCAACGGGGGUCAGCACCACUCCAGAGGUACUCUUGCCCUGGGGAGAGCAGAAGAUAACCGCACACACAGCAGUUCAAUGGCAGCCCCGACUGCCUGCCCCACCCACCAACAGAAACCCUCCGGGGGUGGGGGGGUGGGGGUCAGCACAAAGAGAACCCAGUCAUUCAGGGUCACUGCAACCACCACAGAAGACUGGGGACAGACAUCUUCUCUUACUCCUGACCUUGCCCACCAAUGAAAGCCCCUUGGGGACAACAGAGGGAGAGAACUCUAUAGUUUGGUGCAACCAUGGUUCCAGCAAGUGGGCUGAAGGCAAAUAUAGGGUCUGACCUAAUUCAAGCCCAGAGUGGCCCCAGACUGGCACCUUAACAGCACAGGGACCAAACCCUGAUGACAACAGGCAAAGAAGGCCAGGGAAGCCAACUAGACUAAAGGCAAAUGUGGCUCAACGACAGUAGUAGGGUACAUGCAACACACACAGGAGAUCCCCCUGAAGCACCAGGGUCUACGGAGGAGGGAACACUGCCCUAUAGGGCAUUUCAGGAUCACUUCAUAAGGCCUCUCAUUUCAAGAUCAGGAGACCUAGCUGACUUGAAUACACAGAAGCAGAAUUAGGAAUUAUGCCCCAAAUGAAACAACAGGACCAAGAAGAGAAUGUAAUUGUCAUAAAGAUACUCACUAGACUUAAGAUUGAAAGAUCCCCACGUGACCUUCAGCAAAGAAAGAAAAUAUAAAAAAGAACCAAUUAGAGAUGAAGAGUUCUGAAAUUAAAAAUAUGCUCAAGUCAAUAAAUAGUAGGCCAGAAGAAGCAGUAAAACAGAUAGGGAGCUAGAUGAUGGUAAUAGAGCAACCAAGCUGGACAGGACCAAAAAAAAUGGUAAGAGAACUCAGCAACACCAUUAGGUGUAAUAGCAGUCACAUUCUAGGGAUCCCAGAAGGAGAAGAG